GUCCACGCCGUAAACGAUGUCGACUUGGAGGUUGUUCCCUUGAGGAGUGGCUUCCGGAGCUAACGCGUUAAGUCGACCGCCUGGGGAGUACGGCCGCAAGGUUAAACUCAAAUGAAUUGACGGGGCCCGCACAAGCGGUGGAGCAUGUGGUUUAAUUCGAUGCAACGCGAAGAACCUUACCUACUCUUGACAUCCACGGAAUUCGCCAGAGAUGGCUUAGUGCCUUCGGGAACCGUGAGACAGGUGCUGCAUGGCUGUCGU
rnacentral:rRNA from 1 species